rnacentral:rRNA from 1 species
GAUGAACGCUGGCGGCGUGCCUAAUACAUGCAAGUCGAGCGAAGCGGGGACGGGGGUGUAACACGUGUAUAACCCCCUAUAUGACUGGGAUAACUUCCUGAAACCGGAGCUUAACCCGCUUCUUAACCCUUAAUCCGCGCUGGAUUAGCUAGGUGGUAAGGUAACGUCUUACAAAGGCAACGACGCAUAGCCGAUCUGAGAGGAUGAUCAGCCACACUGGAACUGAGACACGGUCCAGACUCCGACGGGAGGCAGCAGUAGGGAAUAUUCCGCAAUGGGCGAAAGCCUGACGGAGCCACGCCGCGUGAGUGAAGAAGGUCUUCGGAUCGUAAAGCUCUGUUAGUAGGGAAGCGGUACCUACACAGAAAGCAACGGCUAACUACGUGCCAGCCGCCGCGGUAAUUC